rnacentral:misc_RNA from 1 species
GAAAUGCGAUAAGUAAUGUGAAUUGCAGAAUUCAGUGAAUCAUCGAAUCUUUGAACGCACCUUGCGCUCCUUGGUAUUCCGAGGAGCAUGCCUGUUUGAGUGUCAUGGAAUUCUCAACUCUAUUUGCUUUUGUGAAUAGAGCUUGGAUUUGGAGGUUUAUUGCUGGUACUUGUGAUCGGCUCCUCUUGAACGCAUUAGCUCGAACCUUUGCGGAUCAGCUAUCGGUGUGAUAAUUGUCUACGCCGUUGCAGUGAAGCAUAUCAAUGGGCUCGGCUUCCAAUCGUCCUUUACUGGACAAUGACUUUGACCUUUGACCUCAAAUCAGGUAGGAUUACCCGCUGAACUUAAGC